GAUGAACGCUAGCGGCAGGCUUAAUACAUGCAAGUCGUGGGGCAGCAGGACUGUAGCACUCCAGUUGCUGGCGACCGGCACACGGGUGCGGAACACGUACGCAACUUACCCUGAACUGGGGGAUAGCCCGGGGAAACCCGGAUUAAUACCCCGUAAUAUAAUGGAGUGGCAUCACUUUAUUAUUAAAGCUCCGGCGGUUCGGGAUGGGCGUGCGGCUGAUUAGGUAGUUGGUUGAGGUAACGGCUCACCAAGCCUACGAUCAGUAACUGGUGUGAGAGCACGACCAGUCAGACGGGCACUGAGGCACGGGCCCGACUCCUACGGGAGGCAGCAGUAAGGAAUAUUGGGCAAUGGAGGCAACUCUGACCCAGCCACGCCGCGUGGAGGAGGAAGGCCCUUUGGGUUGUAAACUUCUUUUAAAGGGGACGAAACCUGUGUAUUCUUACGCAGUUGACGGUACCCUAGGAAUAAGCACCGGCUAACUCCGUG
rnacentral:rRNA from 1 species